AUCCUGUUAUGUCGUCUGUCGAGAGAUAGCAAGGAAAUGAUUAGGUCCCGAAGGAAGAUAGUGUAAUGGUUGUGAGGGCGCUCUCUCCAUUUCAUAUUAUAUCGUUCACAUACAGUAUAGGUGUCCUGUCCAAAAUAAUAUAUUUCUCUUUUUAUGAGUCUUGUACUGCUAGUCAACAAAUCAUGAUGAGAGCAGUUCAGAUAGACCAGCCUGGAGGACCUGAGAACCUUUAUAUUGGACAAGUUCCUAUUCCCACACCAGGCAGUAAGGAAAUACUGAUACAAGUCAAAGCUACAGCAAUCAACAGGGCUGAUACACUGCAAAGGCGUGGGAUGUAUCCACCACCUCCAGGUGUGACAGACAUUCUGGGACUGGAAGCUGCUGGUAUUAUAAGUAAAUUAGGACCUGGAUGCAGUGGGCGGUGGGCAGUUGGUGACAGAGUAAUGACUCUUUUAUCAGGUGGUGGCAAUGCAGAAUAUGUGGUGUCACCUGAAGGGCUACUUAUGCCAAUCCCAUCUGGGAUGGACUUUACAGAAGCUGCUGCUAUACCAGAAGUGUGGCUCACAGCAUUUAAACUGCUCCACACUGUUGGAAAAGUACAGGCAGGUGAAUCAGUUCUUAUCCAUGCUGGGGCAAGUGGAGUGGGAACUGCAGCCAUUCAGCUAUGCAUUCAGGCUAAAGCUCAUCCAUACAUCACUGCUGGCAGUUCCGCCAAAAUCCAAUCAGCAGUUCGCCUUGGUGCAGUGGAAGGGUUUAACUAUAAGGAAGAAAAUGUGGGUGCUAGAGUACUGGAGGCCACUGGAGGAAAGGGUGUAAAUGUCAUUCUUGACUGUGUUGGAAGUUCCAUGUAUGAGCAUAAUCUCAAUGCCAUUGCUGUAGACGGUAGAUGGAUCAUAUAUGGACUUCUAGGUGGUGGAGAUGUGAGUGGUGAUUUUCUGCGCAAAGUGCUUUCUAAAAGAAUUACUCUGACAGGGACAACCCUUCGAGCUCGAUCACUUGAGUUCAAGCAAGAGCUGGUCUCCAACUUCACUAAAGAUGUGCUACCUUUGUUUGAAAACGGGGCAUUCAAGCCAAUUAUUCACACUGUCCUAAGUCUUGAGAAAAUUGCAGAAGCUCAUAAGUUGAUGGAAGCAAAUGUCAAUACAGGCAAAAUUAUUCUGACGGUCAACUCAGGAGACGAACACCAAGAACUUUGAUAUAAAAUGGGGUUAUAUUUUGGAUGCUGUUGCUGCUCAACUCCUUUGAAAACUGCAAAAUCUUUUUAUCACAUGGUGGAAUGUGGCAAGGGCAAACAGGGCAUUUGUCUGUGCCAUUAAUAGGAAAGAAAGAAUCAUAACUCUGAGAAGUGUGACUGUACUGAAUAUAUGGAUCUAUAACAUUCUUUUAGCAUUUGGAUUUCAUUCUUUAGCAAAAUCAGAUUGUGAUAUUAAAGAUAAAAUUUAGAUUUUGAUACUAUCGCACAUUAGCUAUUAAAAACUAACAAAACAAUAAUAUAUUUGAAAUAAUCAUAUUUUUAAUUUGUGCAUUUAAGACAGUGUUUUUAUUGUUUUUUAAAGUUAAAACAUUGCACACAUGUUAAAUGUAUGGAUAAUCUGAAGGCAAAAGAGAAAAAAAGGUCAUACAUUUCAUCAGUUACUGAAACUAAAAAAGAUCAUAGUAUUGACAGGAAUGUUUCGGUGUAUCAACAUUAUAUAGUAUGUUUACACAUUUGCAUUUUUCAGCACUCCUGCAUUUGUGUUGCUGUGCAUACAUUGAUGAAAUGCUAGGAAUAAUCCAUUUCUGGUGUGUGUAUGUUAAUAUUUCAAAUUAACUUGAUGGUCUGAAAGCGCAUUACAUUCAAUUUUGCUUAUGUUGUGUGGAUUCAUACAAAUGUUAGUAUACGAGAGAGAGA